rnacentral:tRNA from 2 species
GGUAAGAUGGCCGAGUGGUUUAAGGCGGCAGAUUUAAGCUCUGCUGGGGGAAACCUCUCGUGGGUUCGAAUCCCACUCUUAUCAACA